AGACCCGAAACCCGGUGAUCUAGCCAUGGGCAGGUUGAAGGUUGGGUAACACUAACUGGAGGACCGAACCGACUAAUGUUGAAAAAUUAGCGGAUGACCUGUGGCUGGGGGUGAAAGGCCAAUCAAACCGGGAGAUAGCUGGUUCUCCCCGAAAGCUAUUUAGGUAGCGCCUCGUGAAUUCAUCUCCGGGGGUAGAGCACUGUUUCGGCUAGGGGGCCAUCCCGGCUUACCAACCCGAUGCAAACUGCGAAUACCGGAGAAUGUUAUCACGGGAGACACACGGCGGGUGCUAACGUCCGUCGUGAAGAGGGAAACAACCCAGACCGCCAGCUAAGGUCCCAAAGUCAUGGUUAAGUGGGAAACGAUGUGGGAAGGCCCAGACAGCCAGGAUGUUGGCUUAGAAGCAGCCAUCAUUUAAAGAAAGCGUAAUAGCUCACUGGUCGAGUCGGCCUGCGCGGAAGAUGUAACGGGGCUAAACCAUGCACCGAAGCUGCGGCAGCGACACUAUGUGUUGUUGGGUAGGGGAGCGUUCUGUAAGCCUGUGAAGGUGGCCUGUGAGGGUUGCUGGAGGUAUCAGAAGUGCGAAUGCUGACAUAAGUAACGAUAAAGCGGGUGAAAAGCCCGCUCGCCGGAAGACCAAGGGUUCCUGUCCAACGUUAAUCGGGGCAGGGUGAGUCGACCCCUAAGGCGAGGCCGAAAGGCGUAGUCGAUGGGAAACGGGUUAAUAUUCCCGUACUUGGUGUUACUGCGAAGGGGGGACGGAGAAGGCUAUGUUGGCCGGGCGACGGUUGUCCCGGUUUAAGCGUGUAGGUGUGUGUUCCAGGUAAAUCCGGUUCACUUUAACACUGAGGCGUGAUGACGAGGCACUACGGUGCUGAAGCAACAAAUGCCCUGCUUCCAGGAAAAGCCUCUAAGCAUCAGGUAACAUCAAAUCGUACCCCAAACCGACACAGGUGGUCAGGUAGAGAAUACCAAGGCGCUUGAGAGAACUCGGGUGAAGGAACUAGGCAAAAUGGUGCCGUAACUUCGGGAGAAGGCACGCUGACAUGUAGGUGAAGUGAUUUACUCAUGGAGCUGAAGUCAGUCGAAGAUACCAGCUGGCUGCAACUGUUUAUUAAAAACACAGCACUGUGCAAACACGAAAGUGGACGUAUACGGUGUGACGCCUGCCCGGUGCCGGAAGGUUAAUUGAUGGGGUCAGCGCAAGCGAAGCUCCUGAUCGAAGCCCCGGUAAACGGCGGCCGUAACUAUAACGGUCCUAAGGUAGCGAAAUUCCUUGUCGGGUAAGUUCCGACCUGCACGAAUGGCGUAAUGAUGGCCAGGCUGUCUCCACCCGAGACUCAGUGAAAUUGAACUCGCUGUGAAGAUGCAGUGUACCCGCGGCAAGACGGAAAGACCCCGUGAACCUUUACUAUAGCUUGACACUGAACAUUGAGCCUUGAUGUGUAGGAUAGGUGGGAGGCUUUGAAGUGUGG
rnacentral:rRNA from 1 species